rnacentral:rRNA from 1 species
AGAAUCAACGCUGGCGGCGUGCCUAACACAUGCAAAUCGAACGAGAAAGGGGAGCAAUCCCUGAGUAAAGUGGCGACCGGGUGAGUAACACGUGACUAACCUACCCUCGAGUGUGGAAUAACAUCGGGAAACCGAUGCUAAUACCGCAUAACAUCGGCGCUUUUAAGAGAUGCCGAUCAAAGGAGCAAUCCGCUUGAGGAGGGGGUCGCGGCUGAUUAGCUAGUUGGCGGGUAACGGCCCACCAAGGCGAAGAUCGGUAGCCGGCCUGAGAGGGCGCACGGCCACACUGGAACUGAAACACGGUCCAGACUCCUACGGAGGCAGCAGUGGGGAAUUUUGCGCAAUGGGGAAACCCUGACGCAGCAACGCCGCGUGGAGGAUGAAGCCCCUUGGGGCGUAAAACUCCUUUCGACCAAGACGAUAAUGACGGUACUGGUGGAAAGAAGCACCGGCUAACUCUGUCGCCAGCAGGCCGC